rnacentral:misc_RNA from 1 species
AAGCAUCGGCUAACUCCGUGCCAGCGGCCGCGGUAAUACGGAGGAUGCAAGCGUUAUCCGGAAUCAUUGGGCGUAAAGGGUCCGCAGGUGGCGAAUAAAGUCUGCUGUUAAAGACCGGGGCUAAACUCCGGAAAGGCAGUGGAAACUGAUUAGCUAGAGUACGGUAGGGGUAGAGGGAAUUCCCAGUGUAGCGGUGAAAUGCGUAGAUAUUGGGAAGAACACCGGUGGCGAAAGCGCUCUACUAGGCCGAAACUGACACUGAGGGACGAAAGCUAGGGUAGCGAAAGGGAUUAGAUACCCCUGUAGUCUUAGCGGUAAACGAUGGAUACUAGGUGUAGCUUGUAUCGACCCGAGCUGUGCCGAAGCUAACGCGAUAAGUAUCCCGCCUGGGGAGUACGCACGCAAGUGUGAAACUCAAAGGAAUUGACGGGGGCCCGCACAAGCGGUGGAGUAUGUGGUUUAAUUCGAUGCAACGCGAAGAACCUUACCAGGGCUUGACAUGUCGCGAAUCUAGCGGAAACGUUAGAGUGCCUUAGGGAAUGCGAACACAGGUGGUGCAUGGCUGUCGUCAGCUCGUGUCGUGAGAUGUUGGGUUAAGUCCCGCAACGAGCGCAACCCUCGUCCUUAGUUGCCAAUAUUAAGUUAGGCACUCUAGGGAGACUGCCGGGGACAACUCGGAGGAAGGUGGGGAUGACGUCAAGUCAGCAUGCCCCUUACGUCCUGGGCGACACACGUACUACAAUGGUUGGGACAAAGGGCAGCAAACUCGCGAGAGUAAGCGAAUCUCAUCAAACCCAGCCACAGUUCAGAUUGCAGGCUGCAACUCGCCUGCAUGAAGUAGGAAUCGCUAGUAAUCGCAGGUCAGCAUACUGCGGUGAAUUCGUUCCCGGGCCUUGUACACACCGCCCGUCACACCAUGGAAGCUGGCUACGCCCGAAGUCGUUACCCUAACCCGGUUUUGGGAGGGGGAUGCCGAAGGUAGAGCUAGUGACUGGGGUGAAGUCGUAACAAGGUAGCCGUACCGGAAGGUGUGGCUGGAUCACCUCCUUUACAGGGAGACCUAGUCUAAUUACCAAUAGAUAAAAAAGUUGGUAAUUCGCAAGAAUCCUUAGGUCGUGAGGGGAGCAAGAAAAAACUUUCAAACUGUAAUGGGUGAGGGUCAAUGGGCUAUUAGCUCAGGUGGUUAGAGCGCACCCCUGAUAAGGGUGAGGUCCCUGGUUCAAGUCCAGGAUGGCCCACCUAAAAUACACAGGCAUCCUGCCUGUGCCACAAAAAAAGGAAAAAGUUUUGGCAUUGUCUCUUGUAAUCAAGAGCAAGAGAUAAUGCUGGAAUAGAUUCCAGCAAG